ACUAUGUAAAAUAAUAGGGCUACAACUUUGUGUUUACAAUAUGUAUGGCUCACUCAAUUUUCUCUCUUGGAGAAUUUCUCUCUUGCUCUCUUUCCUCUCAACUCUCUCACCCUCUUUCUUCCUUCUCUUCCUCUUCUCUAUGUGUAAACUUCUCUUGAUGGAAGUAUCUAUUUAUAGGCCUAAGACAUUGGUUGUUCACCUCACAAUAUAAGUGGUAGACAACAUCAUUAAUAUUCUUCAAUCAACAACAUCAUUAAUAUUCUUCAAUCAACAACAUCAUUAAUAUUCUUCAAUCAACAACAUCAUUAAUAUUCUUCAAUCAAUUGGGUAGUGGUUUGGUUUGGUGGGUAUGUGGUUAGGUUUAGUGGAUGUUAGUUGGCUAUGUGGGCUUCACCUAUUCUUCUUUACUUAUUCUUCUUUUACAACAUAUAUAUAUAUAUAAUAUUUGUUAAUAGAUACAUAUAUUAUACACAUUAAAAAAAGCAGUGGCCAUAAAAAAUCAGGGACCCUGUGCGGUGGCACCACUUGCACACCUUUAGAGCCACCCCUGCCACCACCACCUCUGAGAGGUUUCAGAAAUAUAACAAACUUUUUAUUUCUUUAAUUUCUUAUAUGUAAUUAGUUAGGAGAGCUCGACUGAAAUUGAAAAAUAUUUGGUUUGCUAGCUAUUGCUGCUAGAAGGAGUGUGAAGGAAUAAUUUGACAAAUUCCUCUGCUAAUUUUAAUAGGCGUGGAAGGCAUUUUUCUGUCAUUUUAUGCAAAAGGAAGGCCAUUAUCCACAUAUAACUAUACCACUAAGCAAAUGAGGCCGUUGACUCACGAAGUAAGUCAUUGUCAUACUAAUACUAUGCUGUCAUAAGCAAGUGAUCAAAUGAAAAGUGUUACUAGUGAAGUGUGUACAUGUCAUGUCUUUAUCGGAAGCUGUUAUUAACACUUCAAAAUAGUCAUUUUACACUCAUUUUUUAUCGCUUUGAUCUCAUUUUUAUAGAAAGCUGUUAUUGAAUAUUGUAUGAGAAUAGUAAAUUAUGAUUAUUUUGGAGUGCCAAUAACAUCUUCUUUUUUAUUAUUACGGAAUUGAACGUAUAUAGGUAAAGUCUCGACUCGACUCAACUUGCACAUUGACUCUUGGGCUGCGCUAAGUGAGCCUAGCUAGCUGUAACCAAAAUAUAUAGCCCAUGGGCUUCUAUGGUUUGUGAGUCAUGCAAGAUAGAGAUCCCGACUCCAAAGUUAGGUUGAGUUUGCCCAUAAAACUUCUACACCCAAAAUUCAAAGUCUUAUCUACAAAAUGAGUCACUUGGCUAAUCAUACCAAAAUUGAAGUUUGACCACAACUUGACGUUGAGGAACAAACACCCCUAUCUCCAAGUUAUAUAUAUGUAGAAAUUGACAAAUGUGUGUAGAUUGAGAACUUGAACCUUCUCCAAUUAUUUUCCCCGCACAUAGAGAGCUCGGAUUCUAAUGAAAAGAUUGGAAUAUUGUUGAUAAUGUUGGCGUGACUUGUGGAUAUUGACUUACUUUCCUUACACACCAAGAAUUCCUAUUAUAAUUGUAAUUGAUUUGCUUUAAUUUCUGAUUUCCUACUAUAAAUAGAUUUAGGAAUUUAUUAUUUACUUGCCCAUUCAGGUUUUGUUGUAUUAUAAAUAUGACCUCCUACAAUGAGAAGAAUACACAGAAAAUUCCCAGAAUAGUUUUCAUAUUUUAGCAUGGUAUCAGAGCGGCGAUCUUGGAAUUGCUAACUCUAAUUUCAAACCCCCGCCGCCGCUAUGGGGGUUGAUGAUUUUUUCAACCCUCAUGGAGGCAGCACCACCGACUCCUUCUCUCAUUCUCAACCAACCAUCAUUGAGUUGAGUGCCCAGAUGGCUCUGCCCUUACAGAUGCAGACUUUGACCCCGAACUCGAUCCAGAAUCAGGAUCCUCUUUUGACGAACUCGAUCCAGAAUCAGGAUCCUCUUUUGACGACCUCGACCCCGACCCCGACUAUGACAACGACGACCCCGACCCCGACUCUGAAGACGACCUCGACCCCCACUCCGAUGAUGACCCCAACCCUGAAUUUGUCUAUGAUUCAGACCCCAAUCCCGAUUUCGAUUCCGACUCCGGCCCCGACUCAGGCUAAGAUUCCGAUCCAAAUUCCUACUCAACCUGUACCCUAUGCAUCUUCCGCCGCACAGAUUAUGACUUCUAGACUAACGAUCCCGACACAUGGACCAAAUUGCGCAUAUUGUGGUGAUCCGAGACACACUUGUGAGACUUGUUUUAAAUCGCAUGGCUACCCCGAUUGGUGGGCUACUCUUACAGAUCGAGGACAAUGCAAUAUGACCAGUAAUGGUACUGGUUAUGGAUUCCAUACUUUCGAUAAGAUUGAUUCCAAGAGCUGGAUAAUUGAUUCUGGUGCAACUGAUCAUGUGACUUUGAUCUUGAUGAUUUUCUGAAUACUACACAACCUCGACGAACCUGUAUUGCAAAUGCCAAUGGUGUUACUUAUCCUGUGACAGGGGCUGGCACUGUUGCACUCUCAUCCUCUCUCACACUGUCUAAUACUUUACUUGUUCCAUCUUUAUCCACUAAAUUGUUGUCAGUUAGUCAGCUUACUGAACAAUUGAAUUGUUGUGUACUCAUUUACCCGAGUUUUUGUUUGCUUCAGGAUAUUCACACUAAGGAGAUUCUUGGUCGUGGUACUAAGAGAAGGGGGCUAUAUUAUGUCGAUGACUUCAGUCCCGGCGUGGCUAACAGUGUGACACAUCCCUUUGAUAGCAAACAAAAGCAAAUCUGGUUGUGGCAUCGUUGAUUGGGACAUUCGUCUUUUAGUUAUAUGAAGCAUCUUAUACUAGAUUUAUUCUCAGGUUUCAAAGACUCCGACUUCACAUGUGAUACAUGUAUUUUGGCCAAGAGUCACUGUGUGCCCUACCCGUUGAGUACGAACAAGUGUACUACUCCAUUUACGUUAAUUCACUCUGAUGUCUGGGGACCUUCGCCUAUCACUGCUCCUUCUGGGGUUCGAUGGUUUGUCACAUUCAUCUAUGAUUGUACACGGAUGACAUGGCUUUAUUUGCUGAAGAAUAAAAACGAAGUGUUUUCCCAUUUUCAGUCCUUCCACAAACAUAUGAAAACUCAGUUUAAUGCUCAAAUCCAGAUUCUUCGCUCAGACAAUGGUGGAGAAUUUGUCAAUCAUGACUUUUAGAACUACUUCCAACAACAUGGAAUUAUCCAUGAGACGACUUGUCCUCAGACACCGCAACAAAAUGGUGUUGCUGAACGAAAGAAUCGAUAUCUUCUUGAAACCGCCCGAGCACUUUUGAUUGGUGGUCAUGUUCCUCGCCAUCGCUGGGAUGAUGCUAUUGUCAUUGCAGUUCACCUGAUCAACCGCAUGCCUUCUGGUGUAUUGACCUUUAAAACUCCCUUACAGGUGCUUGCGCAACACAGACCUUUGCCCUCUGUUUUGGUACUCACACCCCGAAUCUUUGGAUGUGUGGCUUUCGUUCAUCUCCACAAAAAUCAACAUAGCAAACUUGAUCCCUGUGCGCUUCGUUGUAUUUUUAUGGGUUAUGCCACUCAUCAGAAAGGUUACCGCUGUUAUCACCCUCCUACCCAACGAACCUAUGUCACUUUGGAUGUGACCUUUCUAGAAUCUGAGAUGUUCUUCCAUGACCCAUCAUCCAAUUCUGCGCCUCAGGGGGAGAUACGAAGUGAAGAGCAGAAUUGGAGCAACUUGGAAAACAUUUCUCCUAUGUAUAGAAAUGAUUGAUCAUCCCGAGUCUAGAGCACGAGAUUACUCUCUGUUGAAAAGCGACCAAUCGCCCAUUCAUAGCGAUCAAUUGCCUGACCCACCUGAUCCAUGCGAAGAUAUUUCUUAUCCGAGUCUCACACCUACAGACAGUAUAGAACAACAAGAUGAAGACCCCCUUCUAACUCAACAGUACCAACAGACUUGUGCAUUUAGAUGAUAAAACUAUUGGAUAUCAAUUACCUUUCAGGCAAAAUCGUGGGAAGCCACCAAACCGUUAUUCACCUGAUAUUCGAAAGAUAUCCAAGUAUCCAAUUGCAAAUCAUGUAUCCACUGAGAAGCUGUCUGAACCACUAAAGACUUUUGUGCAUCAGUUGUCUGCUAUCCAUAUUCCAACCAAGGUCUCUGAAGUAUUGAAAGAUCCUAAGUGGGUCCAAGCUAUAAAAGAGGAGAUGAAAGCUCUUGAGAAAAAAUCAGACUUGGACAUUGGAGACUAUACCACGAGGAAAAAAGACUAUCGAAUGUAGAUGGGUGUUUACUAUAAAUGUAAUAUCCCAAAUCAAAAAUUCAUAAUUAAGGAAUAUUUUAUUUUGCGAAAAGACAAUUUUGCCCUCAUAAUAUUUUAUUAGGAAAAAGGUGACUUUUUGAUCGAGAAGGAAUUUGACAAUUCCGCUUGAGCCAUUGCGUAGAGCACGGUGAAACGAGUUCAUAGACAUGUAGUGGGCCCAAAUCGGAGUUGUAACGAGAAAGUUAUUGUCAAAAGAGUCUCAGUGGCAUAACCGUAAAUAUUUUGAAGUUGAAUCUAUAAAAACCAGCCAGCUCUUUCCUCUCGCGCAAAAACUGCCCGCCACCUUCCAGAGCUUGCUGGCGCCGCCUCAGGGCACCACCGGCCACGGGACCGGUGCCAAUGGAACCGCCAUCGAGUCCCCUACCUUUUCCGAACCUUCCCCGCCUACUGCACGGCCUGUGCUGGUCGGAAAUUGCAGAAAAGCGACGGAAACGCACCGAAACUUUAAGGCCGCCGAUCUCCCUCCUCCGGCCACCAUGUCUGUCGACCCAGGUAUGGAUCUUGAACCUCUCAAGCUGUUCUAGCUGCUUGUUGGGUAGGAUUAGAUCGAUUCGUAGCGUAGCCAUCGAAUUUUUGAGAUUGAAGUAUCAGACGAUUUUCGGCCUCCAUUUUCGGCCACUUCCGGCCACUUUUUGGGGUAGGUCCAAGAACAAAAGUGGCUCCAAAUAUGGUGUUUUACCUAGGGUAGGAGUUUGGAGCCAUGAUUUGAAGUUUUUCCGGCGAGCCGAAAUCGCUUUAGACACCCAUCGCUGCCGGCGCGUGCUGGGCGCGUGGGUGAGGGUAGUACAGUGGCACUGUGUCUUGUUACGAUCCUUAUGUUGUCACGAGCGCAUAGGAUUUCGUGGAUCUCAAUUUAGAUUCCGUUUGAGCCCCGAACGGAUUUUCCAUAUUGUGCGAUUCCCGGGUUCAAUAUUACCGAACCGUUGGAUCGCGCUCAAUUUCGGAUAUGUUGUUCCAGAUAAUUUCAGAAUCGUGUAGGAUUUGAUGGAUCAUGAAUCGGAGUCCCGGAUACUCCGAAAUCGCGAACCCUGGGGCUAGGGUUUGGAAAUUUUAUGAUUUCACGAUCGUGGUCAAUCUGAUCAUCAGUUUCAGACCAAACUUGCAGGAUAUGGUUCCUUAAACGUGAGGAACUUAAAGGAACUCUCAGAUUGGUCAUUGGAGGUCCUGGACCCCACGGGGUUCCGUCUCGACCAAGGUGGAAGUUUAUCGCUUAAUGAAGUCUUGAGUCUUUUCAGACGAUUGUAAAUACCUGAAAUACCUAAGUGGGCAGGAAAAUGACUUUAAAGUUAGUGCACGCACUUCUAGAAGUUGGGGGUCAGAGUUUUACUUAAAAAUUUAUACCGAGCAGUUUUAUUAAUCAAACAUUCAUGAUGGUUUACCCAGGCACCCGGGACCAGACAGGCCCGCAGGAGAGACCGUCAGGAGGUCUAGCGAGCUCGGACCAGGAGUGAGUGGACUUUCUUUCAUAAAUGAUUUUAUAUAAAUUAGUUAUAUAAAUACUUUAUAUAAAUGAGUUUACAUAAAUGAUUUUAUAUUGAUUUUAUAUAAACAAGUUUUUAUAAAUGAGUUUAUAUGAGUAAAUUUCAUUAUUUGAUUUUGAAUAAGUUUUACCGAAUGUUUUCCGAGCAUGAUUUGUGCCGUCAAAUAUCUUUAUUUCUAUGCUGCUUAGUUGAACAUGGUAGAAAGUGACAGAAAGCAGAGUUGAGAUUUAUAUCAGAGAAAAUAGCAGCUUAGUUUCAGACUUGCCAAAUACAGUGAUUUAUCAGAUUUUUCUAAAAUAUUUAUUUUUAACCACUGUGUGUACCCAGUUAUGGUGAUUACCCUCAGGUGGACCGAUGUCUACGGACAUCCAGUCUAUUUACAGUUCUGUCAGUGCACUUGACAUUGCCUCACGAGUUUCGGGGACGCUCGGACCGUGAGUGCCAGGAUUUGCGGCUCGGCAGACUUGGUGUCCUGAGACCUGCCAGGAUUUGCGGCUCGGCAGACUUCGUGUCCCGAGACCUGCCAGGAUUUGCGGCUCGGCUGACUUCGUAUCCCCGAGACCUGCCAGGAUUGCGGAUCAGGCUGACUACGGUCCCCUGAAUCCUGCCAGAGCGGCUCGAGUUGACUUUGUGUCACCGAGACCUACCAGCGGAUCAGGCUGACUAUAGACCCCUGUAUCCUGCCAGGAUUUGCGGCUCGGAUAGACUGUGUGUCGCCGAGACUUGCCAGGGGAAUUGACGGAAUUACAGGGGUACAUCCGAGUGGUAGUUUUGAUUAAUUGCAGUGCUUUAAUUCAAGUUUUGAGUACAUUGCUUUAUUGCAGGUUUGAUUUCAGCACUUUUAUCCAAAUUGAAUUUCAAUGCUUUCAUGCAAGUUUUAUUGCUCUUGAAAGCGAUUGCAUAUAUUUUUAUAAAUAUGUAACUGCGUUGACUUUCAUAUGUUUUCAAGAUAGUUUAGAUAUUCAGUUUUACUCAACUGUAUUUGAUUUCAUUGUUUUUAUGCGAGAAAUAUUGAGUUCGAAUAUUAUUUACAUAUAAUGCCUUGAGUUUAGUAUGCUUCAAAUGCAGAGUACAUAUUCAGUUUUACUUAACUAUUUUUUUACACCGGGGGUUAGUAUAUUCUUAGAUAUUUUAUGAACCUUUAUUUUUGGUCCACUCACACUUUCAACUGUUUUGCGCCCCCAGGCUGUAGCGUGCACAAGACACCCACCACCGGGCCAUCGUGACUUCCGCGCCUUCUGGUUCAAAAAUGUUGGUAUGCAAACCAAUUAAGUGAUCCGUAAGCUAUCAAAAUUGCUCUGAUAUAUUGCCCUAGAGUGAGAAUGGAACUUUUGGCAUGUUUAUUGAAGUGCUGGUUGUUGGUUGUUUGGACGAUUAUGCUCGUUAUGACAGGUGUAAGUUUUGGAUUGAACGAAAUUUAGGGGAGACUCUGCCGAAAUUUCGGUAGAAGUCAAAGUCAAAAUUUUAAGAAAAAGGGCAAAUAGGUCUUUCGUGCUUGACAUUUGCCAAGUGUCGGACACGCACAGGGUUCGACUCGAAUUCCAAAGCGGAAUUUGAUUCGGGUCCUGUCAAUAAAACACAAUGCAGAUGGAUCUAUCGAGCGAUACAAGGCAAAACUUGUGGAAAAAGGGUACACACAGACCUAUGGUAUAGACUAUGAAGAAACUUUUGCACCAGUUGCAAAGUUAAACACCGUGAGAGUUUUAUUUUCCAUUGCAGCUAAUUUGGAUUGGCCACUACCCCAGUUUGAUGUAAAGAAUGCUUUUCUACAUGGCGAACUCACGGAGGAGGUGUACAUGGACAUUCCUCCUGGAUAUAAUAUUACUCAGACUGGAACAGUUUGCAGGUUACGAAAAGCAUUGUAUGGAUUGAAACAAUCACCACGUGCAUGGUUUGGACGGUUCACCAUGGCAAUGAAGAACAAUGGUUUGAAACAGUGCAACUCAGAUCAUACUCUGUUCUUGAAACAUCGAAAAGGGAAGGUAACAGCAUUAAUAAUCUAUGUUGAUGAUAUGAUUAUUACUGGGAAUGAUAAACAGGAAAUAUCACAGCUACAAGACUAUCUGGCUACGGAGUUUGAGAUGUAGGAUCUAGGUGGACUCAAGUAUUUCUUGGGAAUUGAGGUGGCUCGAUCGCAGCAAGGCAUAUUUCUCUCUCAAAGGAAAUAUGUCUUGGACUUGUUGAUAGACACAGGAAUGCUAGAUUGAAACCUGCGGACAUUCCUAUUGUUCAUAAUCAUCAUCUUAGAGAAUAUCCAGAUCAAGUUCCAACUAACAAAGAAAGAUACCAAAAGUUAGUGGGAAGAUUAAUCUAUUUGUCACAUACUCGACCAGACAUUGCUUAUGCGGUGAGUGUUGUCAGUCAAUUUAUGCACUUUCCAAGUGAAGACCACAUGAAUGCAGUUCUUCGGAUACUUAGAUAUUUGAAGUCUGCACCUGGAAAAGGACUUAUGUUCUCAAAGCAUGGUCAUCUAAAUAUUGAUGGUUAUUCAAAUGCAGAUUGGGCAGGUAAUGUAACAGAAUCCACAUCGGGUUACUUCACAUUCAUGGGAGGUAAUUUGGUGACAUAUAGGAGCAAGAAACAGAAUGUUGUAGCUUUAUCCAGUGUAGAAGCCGAGUUCAGUGGCAUGACUAAAGGGAUUUGUGAACUUCUUUGGUUAAGAAAGUUGCUUAUUGAACUUGGGUAUAAACCUACAUCCACAAUGAAUCUCUUUUGUGACAACAAGGCUGCUAUAGCCAUUGCACAGAAUCCGAUUCAGCAUGAUCGUACUAAACAUGUUGAGGUGGAUCGACACUUCAUCAAACAAAAGCUUGAGGCUAAAGUGUUUCAGUUUCCUUUUGUGAAAUCCGAAGAUCAAUUGGCGGAUAUUUUGACAAAGGCGAUUUCCAGUAAAGCAUUCCACAAUUCACUAGAUCAGUUGGGCAUUGGCGACAUCUAUGCACCAACGUGAGGGGGAGUGUUGGCGUGACUUGUGGAUAUUGACUAACUUUCCUUACACACCAAGAAUUCCUAUUAUAAUUGUAAUUGAUUUGCUUUAAUUCCUGAUUUCCUACUGUAAAUAGAUUUAGGAAUUUAUUAUUUACUGGCCCAUUCAGGUUUCGUUGUAUUAUAAAUAUGACCUCCUAUAACGAGAAGAAUACACAGAAAAUUCCCACAAACAAAUAUUCUCUCAUAGUUUUCAUAUUUUAGCAGAUAAUACUACGGAUAAUAUGUCGACAUCAUUGUUGUCAACAAAACGUAUCGUGUUGUAAAAUAACUGGGAUAUGUGCGAAUAUUGAGCUGCACGUAAAGUAGAUGAGACACAGUAUUUAACGAGGUUCGGCUAUGCCUACGUCCCCGGAGAGCAGCACCAGUAACUUUUCCACUAUGUAAAAUAAUAAAGCUACAACUUUAGUGUUUACAAUAUAUGUGGCUCACUAAUUUUUCUCUCUUGGAGAAAUUUCUCUCCACUCUAUUUUUCUCUCUACUUACUCACCCUCUUUCUUCCUUCUCUUCCUUUCUUUCUUUCCUCACUCUUUCUUCUCUUCAUUUUGGUGUGUUUUACAAGUGAAUGAGCAAACCUAUUUAUAGGCAAAGUAACAGGCUUCUAAUGGAGACAUAAUGAUAUCUCCCCAACAUUAUAAUUUCAUCUUUUGACUAAUCUUCCUUCUUUUCUAACACCAUCAUUUUUCUUCCACCAUUUCUCUUUAUGUGGGCUUCACCAAUAUUAUUU
rnacentral:lncRNA from 1 species